rnacentral:tRNA from 1 species
GGCCGCCUGGCGUAAUGGCAACGCGUCUGACUACGAUCCACUGGUAAUGGACGGAUUUGUAUAUCAGGAGAUUGCAGGUUCGACCCCUGCGGUGGUCA